UACGUAGGUGGCAAGCGUUAUCCGGAUUUAUUGGGCUUAAAGGGUCCGUAGGCGGAUGUGUAAGUCAGUGGUGAAAUCUCGCAGCUUAACUGCGAAACUGCCAUUGAUACUGCAUGUCUUGAGUAAAUUUGAAGUGGCUGGAAUAAGUAGUGUAGCGGUGAAAUGCAUAGAUAUUACUUAGAACACCAAUUGCGAAGGCAGGUCACUAAGAUUUAACUGACGCUGACGGACGAAAGCGUGGGGAGCGAAC
rnacentral:rRNA from 1 species